rnacentral:SRP_RNA from 1 species
GUCGAGCCAUAUAACGUGGGCUUGUAACCUAAGUAGGGGCAAUAAUGUGGUGGAAUGUUAGGUUGAUCUUGAAGGCUGGGCUUCGAAUAGUUAAUGUCUGCUUGCCCUAUCCAAGCAUGGAGUUGAGUCAUGUGGCCCAAAUAAAAAUAUGGGCUUUUUGGCUCCUAGAGUGGAGUGGAUUGCGUGAGGCUAGUUUCACAGAGCAACGAAAAACUCCUGCUUUGUGCAGUGGAAAGAUAACGGGCCAGUGCUAUUUAAGUCCAACAAACACCCGAUGGGCAACAUAAUUAAACCACCAUUUUU